rnacentral:tRNA from 1 species
ACAAUUGCCUUAACCUCGUGCCUGGGCAUCUGACUCAUAAUCAGUAGGUGCCUGGUUCGAUUCCAGGCUGUUCCA